rnacentral:SRP_RNA from 1 species
GCUGGGCACAGUGGAAUGUGCCUGUAGUCCCACAUGCUUGGGAGGCUGAAGCAGGAGGUUCACUUGAGUCCAGAGUUUCUAUGCUGCAGUGUGCUAUGCUGACCUGUUGGGCACACUAAGUUCAGCAUCAGUAUGAGAUCCUGCUGGGACUUGGGAGCUCCAGGUUGCCUAAGGAGGGGGUAACUUGAACAGAGUUUAAAACAGAAAAGAUCAAAACUCCCUAUGCUGACCACAAUGUGGAAAUGUAUUUUGAUGGAUCAGAGAGCAUAUACUUGUAUAUCUAGACUCACAUUAAUAGAGCUUA